rnacentral:rRNA from 1 species
CCUACGGGAGGCAGCAGUGAGGAAUAUUGGUCAUUGGACGAGAGUCUGAACCAGCCACGUAGCGUGGAGGAUGAAUGCCCUCUGGGUUUUAAACUUCUUUUAUAUUGGAAUAAAAUGUUCCGCGUGAGGGAUUUUGUAUGUACCAUAUGAAUAAGGAUCGGCUAACUCCGUGCCAGCAGCCGCGGUAAUACGGAGGAUCCGAGCGUUAUCCGGAUUUAUUGGGUUUAAAGGGAGCGUAGGUGGAUUGUUAAGUCAGUUGUGAAAGUUUGCGGCUUAACCGUAAAAUUGCAGUUGAAACUGGCAGUCUUGAGUACAGUAGAGGUGGGCGGAAUGCGUGGUGUAGCGGUGAAAUGCAUAGAUAUCACGAAGAACUCCGAUUGCGAAGGCAGCAUACCGGCGCCCGACUGACGCUGAGGUACGAAAGCGUGGGGAUCGAACAGGAUUAGAUACCCGUGUAGUC